AUGCUGAUAGUAUAUUUGCGUACAGUUGCCUUCCAAGCAAAAAGACCAAACAUGGUCAGCAUA
rnacentral:tRNA from 1 species